rnacentral:rRNA from 1 species
GACGAAGGAUGCAAGCGUUAUCCGGAUUCAUUGGGUUUAAAGGGAGCGUAGGUGGCCUUAUAAGUCAGUGGUGAAAUCUUCGAGCUUAACUCGGAAAUUGCCAUUGAUACUGUAGGGCUUGAGUACAGUUGCUGUGGGCGGAAUAUGACAUGUAGUGGUGAAAUACAUAGAGAUGUCAUAGAACACCGAUUGCGAAGGCAGCUCACAAAACUGUAACUGACACUGAGGCACGAAGGCCAGGGGAGCAAACGGG